GCUGGGUGCGGUGGCUCACGCCUGUAAUCCCAGCACUUUGGGAGGCCAAGGUGGGCAGAUCACCUGAGGUCAGGAGUUCAAGACCAGCCUGCCCAACAUGGUGAGACCUCAUCUGUACUAAAACNNNNNNNNNNGUUUUAGUACAGAUGAGGUCUCACCAUGUUGGGCAGGCUGGUCUUGAACUCCUGACCUCAGGUGAUCUGCCCAUCUU
rnacentral:SRP_RNA from 1 species